rnacentral:lncRNA from 1 species
AGAUCAGAGACAUGAAUACUUUUAUAACAACUGAAAUGCAUACCUGUGGACAGCCAAUCAGAAUAAUAGAAAAGGGGUUUCCGAAAAUACUAGGAGACACACUUCGAAAAAAGAUGGACUACUUAAUACAAGAACAUGAUCAUCUGCGUAAGCUCUUGAUGUGGGAACCCCGAGGACACUUUGAUUUGAUUGGUGUGCUACUGGUUCCACCAGAUCAUCCCGAGGCGGACAUUGGUGCUAUUUUUAUGCAUAAUGAAGGAUAUGGCCCUAUGUGUGGGGAUGCUACUAUGUCCUUAGGAAGAUAUUUAGUAGAUAAAGGCAUCGUUAGAAAUCUUACCAUACCUCAAACAUUUGUGAAAAUCCAGUGUCCAUGUGGACUUGUCGAGGUUCGUGUACAAAACGAUGGAAAGAAAACAGGAACUGUUAGCUUUUUAAGUGUUCCUUCGUUUUUGUAUGAAAAAG